rnacentral:lncRNA from 1 species
GGAUCACUUCAACCAGACAGCUCCACUAAAAACUACUCAACGACCAGGACUUACAACACAAGGGCACACAGAAGUGCAGUUUAAACUAAGAUGCACAUCAUCUCUAGCCCCUCACUCCUUGGAGGACUUGUUGAUCAAGGACUUGUGGAUGUGCGGGAUGACACCUCCACCUGCGAUGGUGCCCUUGAUGAGGGUGUCGAGCUCCUCAUCUCCACGGAUGGCCAGCUGAAGGUGGCGAGGGGUGAUACGCUUGACCUUCAGAUCCUUGCUAGCAUUCCCAGCCAGCUCCAAAACCUCAGCGGUCAAGUACUCCAGGAUGGCAGCGGAGUAUACGGCUGCAGUAGCACCAACACGACCAUUUGCCUGAGUCCUCUGCUUAAGUUGGCGGUGGAUACGGCCAACAGGGAACUGAAAAUGACAUCAAUCAUAAACUUUAGCAAACUAUUACCACAACUGUAGAGACAAUAAACUCCGCAUAUAAAGACAACAACUGCCUAAAUAAAUCAUGCCAAAGCUGAACACAAAAAAUCAAACAACUCAAAUCGAUACACCAACCACCAAUGCUAGAUAUUCAACGAGAAAUGUCUGUUCAGUAACAGCACGUGAAUAACAAACAGAACAAACAUACAUACAUAUGGUGGAUCAAUCACCAAAACAAAGUAAAUAUAGCGUGGACAUGGAAAUUUGGAGAAAUGGAGGGACAGUAAAUAUUUGCGGAGAAGUUGAGUGGGGGGUGGGAGGUGGGCGGCGAUGGCACACAGCUUCGUAGGGAAGGUACCCAUCAGAAAAAUAACCAGACAAUCCAUCAUCAUAUCAACGAAAAUUCUAGCCUAUCCAAAUUCAUGUCAUUCUCUUACACCUUUCCAUCAUCACAAAUGUAUAUCACAAAUCCCUACAACAGGACCUGUCAGAACCCACAGUAGCUUAACGUGCUAAAGCCCAAAUUGAACGAACACAAUCAUGCAACCAUCAGCCUACAUGACACUGGCAGGCAGACUAACCUCUGCCCCAGAUCUAAAAUUUGGCCGAACAACAGAAGCCCUAAAAUUUUAAAGUUCAGGCACAGCUAGCACGCCCAACCUUCACAAAGCCCAUAGCUCAUCGGAUCCACGCGAAGAAUCUAACAAGGAAGAGAGCACCUCUGCUCACCGUACGAAACCUCAGACCUAACCCGCGCGACCCGGGCGAGAACACACAAAUCUAAACGCGCGCGCCCUAGGAGUAGUUCAAAUCUAAACGCGCCAGCUACAGCCGCGCGCGCUAACGCGGCAGUUCAAAUCUAGGCGCGCCCUAGCACCCGCGGCGCGCCGAAGCAAGCGAGCGGAAAGCAGAGCACACAAGGAAGCGGGGAGGCCGCGAGUCACCUGCAGGCCGGCGCGGGAGGAGCGGGAGACGGGGGCCUUCUUCCCCUUGUCCUUCUCCGCCGACUUGGCCGCCGUCGUCUUCGCUGCGAGCAGCCCCUUGCCUCCCUUCCCGGCCAUCUCCUCAGCUCCGAGGGAAACUGAUACCCUGCAGCGAACAGAACCAAAUACGACGGCGCCGGGGCCGAAUCAGCGCGGAUCGGGGGGCGGAUCGGGCGGAUCUCGCCGCCGAUUCCGGAAAUCGAGCGGCGAAUCGAGGGGGAAGGGUUCGGAUAAGACGGGUCGGACGCGGGGCGAGCCCUUACCUUUCGCGAGUUUUCGCUUCCCUCCGACCCCUAACGCCACGCGAAACGAAAUCGAGAUUUUUUUUUCCGUCUCCUUGUGGGGCUUGGGUGCGUGGGGGUCUUAAGGACGUAACAUUGUAACUAGCCCCUUGAGGUACGCGGAUAUUGUUGUACUUCCUGUUUAGUGCAGCUCGGUUUGGAACCGGAGCUACGUGUGCGGUUUGAGAAAAGAACAGGGUGUUUCUGUAAAAUUCGAAAAGCUCAGGUCGUGGGUGGGUGGGUGUGGGGGGGUGGGAGGGGGGCGGCGUGGUUUCUUGAGGACGGCUGGGGACUUGCGCGGUUACUCCUGCGACGAAAAUUUCGAAAUGCCGCCGCCCGAGUGCCGUGACUGCCCGCGGGCCAGCUGCGAAAGGGCGGGAACCAGGAGGAUUUCGCAAGGGCCUCUCCGGAAGAUGGAGCUGUAGCCUGUAGGCGGGGAUUUCCAUUUCCUUGGGAGUUUGGGUAGUUACCAAACUGCCCCUCAGGGGUCGUUGACCUGCACCAGAUGCAAUGGUGACCUGUACGAAUAAUUGAAAAAGAAAAAAAAUAUUGGCACAUCUUGUUUUGAUGCAAAUAAGUUUGAAGUAGGGCAGAUUUGAAAUAAGUUUGGCAUUUACUUCCGUAUCCCUUGUACCGGAACAUAGCAAAUGUGAAAUCAUAACUGAAAUUUUAUGAUGCCGGUGAUGGAGAAGUUGUCCCGGGAUGAAGGUACAGAGUAAGAGUAAGGCUCGGUUUGGAAUCUUGGAAUUAAAUCCCAUUCUAAUAAUUAUAAUUUAAAUAUAAAUCUAUUAAAAUAAUAUGAUUAUAUAUAGAAUAUAUUUAUAUAUUAUUAUUGGUCAUACGACGAAUAUAAUUAUGUACUAUAUUUCUACUACAGAGAAGUAAGACAAAAAGCGUGCUAUAAGCUACGGUAGAAACAUAGUUUGAUAGUGUAUAGAAUCGAUUUCCAUCUCCCAUCCUAAGAAUUUAGAAUAAACCUAUAUCUAAAUUUUAGAAAGUGGUGGGAUAUCAAAUUAUAAACCAAAUAGGCUAGUUUAUUAAGUAGAUUUCAAUUCCUUUAGGAUCCAAAUGGGCCAUAAGUGUCAUUCAAACAACCCGACAGCUCUUAUAAUUUGCAUUCAGAGAAAUAUUUGCAAAAUGACAAACAAAAUGUAGCUGCUAUCUCACAAGCAGCUGGAGGAACGGCAGACAACUGCCAAAUCUGAGCGCCCCCGCCCCCCCCCCCCCCCCCCCAACCCCAAAUUCAGAUGUAAUUGUAACAAAUAGAAUGAGAGAAAAGAAAACAAACCAUGACAUGAACUGAAGUAACAGGCAGUCGCAAAUAACUAAAUAAGCAUCCAGGUUUGCACCACUGAAGUUAACGACUCAACACAGACACGAUGUUCAAAUAACAGAAGCAGCACCAGGAAAGCGAUACACAGAAGGAUCAAUUCAACCAGACAGCUCCACUAAAAACUACUUGACGACUAGGACUUACAACACAAGGGCACACAGAAGUCCAGUUUAAACUAAGAUGCACAUCAUCUCUAGCCCAUCACUCCUUUUUUUUUUAUAAAAGCCCCUCACUCCUUGGAUGACUUGUUGAUCAAGGACUUGUGGAUGUGCGGGAUGACACCUCCACCUGCGAUGGUGCCCUUGAUGAGGGUGUCAAGCUCCUCAUCUCCACGGAUGGCCAGCUGAAGGUGGCGAGGGGUGAUACGCUUAACCUUCAGAUCCUUGCUAGCAUUCCCAGCCAGCUCCAGAACCUCGGCGGUCAAGUACUCCAGGAUGGCAGCAGAGUAGACAGCUGCAGUGGCACCAACACGACCAUUUGCCUGAGUCCUCUGCUUAAGUUGGCGGUGGAUACGGCCAACAGGGAACUGGAAAUGCAUCAAUUGUAAAAAUUAGCAAAUUCUGCAUAUGGAAACAAACAACGUUCAAACCCCUCUGACCAAACCAUGUCAAAGCUGAACACAAACAAUCAAACAACUCAAUUUGGUGCACCUAACCACCAAUGCUACAUAGUCGAAAGAAAUGGUUGGUCAGUAGCAGCAUGUGAAUAGCAAGCAGAACAAACAUACACAUGGUGGAUCAAUCACCAAAACAAUGUACAGAUAUACUAAAGAUAUGGAAAUUUGGAGAAAUGAAGGGAAGGUUCAUGUAUCAGAUACAUGAUUUCAUUUUCAUUUUUGACAACCAUUGCCUAUUUAUCUACGGAGAAGGGAAGACUGCUUGAUAUGGCAGUUUCUCAACAGAAAAACAACCAGAUAAUCAAUCCUACCCUUCAUGUCAACCUCUUACACUUUGCCAUCAUCACAAAUAUAUGCCACAAAGCCAUACAGCAGAACCUGUAGAACUCACAGUUGCUUAACGUGCUAACGCCUAAAUUGAACAGACACAAUCAUGUGCCCGCCAGUCUACAUGACACAGGCAGGCAGAGCAACCAGGGAUCCAGAUCAAAAAUUUGGCAGAACAACAGAAGCCCUAAGAUUUUAAAAACCUGGCAAGAUUAACGCGCGCAACCUUCCCAAAGCCACAGCUCAACCAACCCCCACGCGCGAAUCUAAGAGGAAGACAGCACCUCUGCUAACCGUACGAAGCCUCAGACCUAAACCCGGGCGAGACACACAAAUCUACACGCGCGCCCUAGCAGCAGUUUGAAUAAACGUGCGAGCUACAGCCGCGCGCGCUAACGCGGCAGUUCAAAUCUAGGCGCGCCCUAGCACGCGUGGGACGGCGCGACGAAGCAAGCGAGCGGAAAGCGGAGCACGCAAGGAACAGGGAAGGCCGCGAGUCACCUGCAGGCCGGCGCGGGAGGAGCGGGAGACGGGGGCCUUCUUCCCCUUGUCCUUCUCCGCCGACUUGGCCGCCGUCGUCUUCGCCGCGAGCAGCCCCUUGCCUCCCUUCCCGGCCAUCUCCUCCGCUCCGAGGGAAACUGUGACCCUGCAGCGAACAGGACCAAAUCGGACGGCGCGGGGGCCGAUCAGCGCGGAUCGGGUCGCGAAUCGGGCGGAUCUCGCCGCCGAUUCGGGAAAUCGAGCGGCGAAUCGAGGGGGGCGGGUUCGGAUAAGACGGGGGGUCGAGCGCCGCGGAAGGCCCUUACCUUUCGCGAGUUUUCGCUUCCCUCCGACUCCUCGCGCUACGCGAAACGAAAGCGAGAUUUUUUUUUCCCCGGCUCCGCGUGGAGCUUGGUGUGUGGGGUUCUUAUAGAAAAACAUUGUAGCUAGCCCCUCGAGAUACGCAGAUAUUUUCAGCUAGGCUUGUUUUGUGCGGUUCGGUUCGGAAUCGUAGCUACAUGUGCGAUUUGAGAAAAGAACAAGGCGUUAUUUGUAAAGUUCGAGAAACUCAGAUCGUGGGCGGGUGGCUUCUUGACUCUUGAGGACGGCUGGGGACUCGCGUGGUUACUCCUGCGAUGAAAAUUUCGAAAUGCCGCCCAAGUGCCGUAACUGCCCGCGGGCCAGCUGCUGGAAGGGCGGGAACCAGGAGGAUUUCGCGAGGGCCUCGCGGGAAGAUGGAGCUGUAGGCGGGGAUUUCCUGGGUGUUUUUGGGCAGUUACCAAACUGCCCCUCAGGGGUAGUUAACCAGCAGCGGAUGCAGAUGCAGUGGUGAACAAGGACCGAAGAAAGACCUGUAGUACUAACUGAAAAGGAAAAAUAUUGGCACAUCUUGUUUGAUGCAAAUAAGAUUGAAAUAUGACAGAUUUGAAAUAAGUUUGGCCUUUACUUCUGUAUCCAACGUAUGGCAACAUAGCAAAUGUGAAAUCAAAUGAAAUUUUAUGUGGCUACUACUACAUCACUAUGCAUAUCCCGACACUCAACCAGGCCGUUCUGAACAUCAGAUGUGCAAAAGGAUAAAUUUUCGGGUGCUCUCCAAAUCAACAGUUCCCUAUAGCAAUAAUAGUUUUGGAGCAACUCUGUUUUAUCAAUCCGUAUUCUUUCUAGUUUCUAAUAGCUUCAGUUUUCUAUAGAAUUGAGGUCAGAAAUGGAUUGAACUAUCCACACAUUGUUACCUUUUCUCCAGAGGAAUGCAGAAAAUCAGUAAGCAUCACAUCAUGAACUUUCCCCGGAGGUUGGAUCAACCAGACAUUGUCAAUAACUUAGCUGACCACUUAUCUGCUUGUAUGUUUGAUAUCCUGCCUACUUGCCUCUGAAUCGGAUCGACAAGGCUGACCACUUAUCUGCUUGUAAGUUACAACCAGUGCCACUGACAGUCCUGCAGCAAGCUCAGGGCUUAGCAAACUCCUUUCUCUCUUGCCUUCAUCAAGUGACAUGAGGUAUUACUGUUCAUAAAAUGGGCAGCUGGGAAUUUUAACUUCUAGCUUUCUAGAGCACUAGAGGGUCACCUCCCUGAAUCUGCCACUGUAACAACUGCAAAGCAAUUUCAUAUCUCACCACUUCUCCAAUCCAGAAUUUGGCAUGUUUCGUGUACUUCCAAAAAAAGACUUGACCUGCCCUUUUCUGGUGCAUUAUUAAGGGCAUCUGUACUCAAUUGUGUCACUUCCCAAAGAUUACUGGAUAAUUGUGUCACUUCCCAAAAAUGGCACCAUGUGUGAACGUGUGGCCAAUGCUGACAACAGCAUAUUCACCUGCGAUAAUUGAGAAGGAUUACAGUACAUCAGGUAUUCACUGCAACAACGUGCUUCAACUUAAAGCCAUUCAAACACGAUUACCAUGCUCUUUUUUAUGAGAAAUCAUAUGAUGCACAAAAAUACUACUACGCUACUCUGCUAAUGAGGCUGAUAUCCUAAUGUGCAUCCCAGCACCGGCAAAGUUAGUGGAGAAGAGAGAUGUCCAUGGCCAGUGCCAGCAUUUGUCAUAUAUGAAAGUUUGUGGAUAGUGAACGGAUAAACAUGAACUUUGACUUUUAAUAAGGACAACACAGUGUCUGAAUAAGUUUCAAUGAGCACUUCUUUGUGUGCGGGCAUGUUAAGGAUACUAUUCAACAGCCCACAACUUCCCAUGGUAUUAUAGUUUCUCAUUUCUAAUUUCCAGAUUGGUAUAGGAGUCCAGGCACAGCAUUGCCACUGAAAUGCCCAGUUGAAUUAUAGUCUGGAAGAUAGGUUACCAUCAUCCUUAAGUUCAGCUAAAUAUAUCAGGAAAACAUUGUAGUAUGAUGGGUUGGUGUAAUCUUAAGUAUACCAUGUGCACAGAAUUAAUGCCAGUGUUUUUUCACUGGAAAACGAUGGGGCAAAGAAUCACUACCUUCAAUCAGUUAGAUUAUAAAAUGUGAUUGUAGUUGCCAGAUCACUGGAUUGCCGGAAUGGCUUGGUUCCAUGGUUAGUCAUAAUCGUCACAUCAGGUCAACAAUCAAUUCAAGUUCGCACCAUGAAACUGCAACAGACAAAAAAAACACAGACACACAUCACUUUAGUUGCAAAUUUUGCUACCACUUACAAGUGGAAGGGCUAUGAAUUCAUCUGGAUGUACAAGGCUAGAGAGUUGCUCUUCUGGUCCAAGUACAGCGAAGUCAGGAUUUGAAGUCUUAAAAACAUUAAAGACCCAGACAUUUCACAAGACAACAUGCAGAUAACAUAAUUUGAGACUUGUACUGUCAGUAAACAUUGUAGAAAUUUCUUCCAAAAUUUCAGAAGGAAAGUUGAAAGUAGAGUUAUUAAACGACAAUACUAGCAUUACACUAUGAGCAUGAUUGAGUUCACUGCCAUGUAGCUGUUGAAUGGUAAAACCUUUGAAUCCCAGUACGAAAUGAACAUGUUGGCACACUUUAUUCAGACAAGCAGAGAUGACCAAAGUGUAAACAGUGUCCUAGUAUACUUGAAACUUACAUUAAACAGUAUAGCUAACAGAAGCUGAUUUCUUCUCAAUAAAUGUAGAGCAUACUGCACCAAAUUUUCCACUUCAACUCCAGGGUAAAAGAAAAGGUAAUAAACACGGUUCAGUUCAACAUAAACUUUCUGUAAGGCGUAUUUCCAGUUCUACUAGUCAAUAGGAAAAACAAAACAUUAUUCAGUAAACUAAAAAAACUCUGACCCUCAUGCCCCAAGUGGAAAUAGCAGUAACUUUUCAUGAAAUGUACAAUAUGUUAUCCAUUCCUUAGAAGAAAGAAGCUGCUUGCAUUUUGAAACAUGUAUUAUAAGUGGUACUCUUACCUUGCAUCUGAAGCAACAACAUCAACAUCCGAAAUUACUAGCACCUGCUGAUUUUCUCACUCCUUUUCUUUCCAUGUUCUGCCUCACUUUGUCACUGUGGUUCAAAUGACCUCCAGCCGCAUAAAGUUCGAAAGCAAGACAUAUCCACUUUCCUCUGCUGGAUCAAGAUGAAGAAGUUCUUUUGAAGCAAUCUCUGCAACUUCAGCAUUUUGACAAGCCAAACUUGCAUUUAAAAUGGAGCCCUAUAUUGACCCCGACUUGGCCUCAUUGGCAUCCUCCUAGCCAAAGCUAAAGCAUCAGUCAGCCUACCUGAUCGUGCAAGAAGAUCAACUAUACACCCAAAAUGUUCUAUUCCUGGUUCAAUACUGUAUCUUUGCUUCAUAGCGUCAAAAAUCCUGCAUCCUUAUCCAGCAGGCCAGCAUGAUUGCAUGCACUGAGAACAGCAAGAAAUGUGACACCAUUAGGCGCUACAAACUCAGCUUGCAUCUUCCAAUAUAGAUCCAAUGCUUCAGUUCCAUGGCCGUUGAAUGCAAGGCCAGAGAUCAUAGCUGUCCACAAGGUAACAUCUUUGUCCAAAGCCUUCUCAAACACAGAAUAAGCUCCCCUCACAUUUCCACAUUUGCAAUACAUGUCUACAAGAGCAGAUGCCAAGAAUGCAUCCUGGAGCCCAAAUCCUUUCACCACCCAACCGUGGAUACUCCUUCCAUGAUUCAAUGAUCCAUUACCUGUGGCUGCAGAGAUCAAGGUAACAGCAGUCACUUUAUCAGGAUUUACUCGACUGGCAAGCAUAUCAUUAAAUAGUUCAAUCAUUGCACUGAAAUCUUCGAGUCUCGCGAAUCCAGCGAGAAGUGCUUUCCAGGAUAUUAGAUCUCUGGAAGGCACCUCAAAGAAAUAUUUGCAGGCAAGGUCCAACUUGCCAGCAUUCACGAAUCCUGCAACCAUUGUAUUCCACGAAAUGACAUCAUUCAUUCAUUCUCGUCAGCUUCACCAAAGACUCAUAGCUGCAUCCAUUUCCCCACAUUUUGCAUACAUAUCCAAAAGAGCAUUCAUUAGAAUCAAUCCCCAAUCUCCUGGAUGGAUCCUCCGCAUGACAACGCCAUGAACAGACCUCCCGAGAAGUGCAUUCUUAAGGCGCCCGCAGCAAGUGAGCAGAGCAACAGCUGUAUACUGAUCCACAGCAAUCCCCCUCGACACCGUAUCACGGAAAAACAGCAGAGCCUUCCCGGUGCACCCUUGAUUCACAUACCCAGACAGCAUGAUGUUGCAGGACGCCGCGUCCGACACUGGCGUUGAACAGAACAUCAGCUCGACCGUCUCCACAUCGCCGGAGUCGAGGUACAUCUUGAUCAGCGAGUUCCGCACGUACGCAUGCGAGUGCAAGCCACUCGUAACGACAUGGGCGUGCACCUGCCUCCCCGCUGGCAGGCGCUCCACCGACCUCAGCAGCGCGAGGAAUGUCCGCUCGUCGGGGUGGACAGACGACGCGAGCAUGGACCGGUAGAGAGCCGCCGCCCGGCGCGCCGAGGAGGAGGAGUCGCGUGCCUCCGCCGCCGCCGCGGAGAGCAUGAGGUUGUAGAUGUAGAGGUUGGGGCGGGGCGUGAAGUGGCGGAAGAGGAGCUCGGCCUCGCGCGCGAGGCGCGGGGAGGAGACGGCGGUGGCGAAGUGGAGCAGCCGCUCAUGGGGAACGUCUCGAAGGCGAGGCCGAGGCGGAGCAGGUGGACGAGGAUGGCCCGGAACGGCGCCGCCCCGCGGCAGCGCGCUCCAGGAGGACCAGCGCCGGGUGGCCCAGCCGCAGCGAGACGGUCGGGUCCCACGCGCGCCCCGCGGCGGCCAUCGCGAGCAGUCGGGCCUGCCCUCGGGAGGGAGGCGCCAGGGGGUUCGAAUCUCGGCGCGGUAUCAGGCUACCGGGAGAAUCCGCUAGUUGCGGACAAACCGUUGUCCGGCCGCCGGCGCCGCCGCGGCCGGCCGAGUGGCUUGGCGGCGGAGCCGGCGAUGGUCGGCUGUGACGACGAGGAGGCGCCGAGUGUGGUGGGCAGGCCGCCCAACUUGUCAUGGGCCCAGCCAACUCACGAAGCCCUUGAAGGGACCGAGUACUUUCGUUUAUCCAGUGGAAGCCCAAGUACUUCCUAGGCCAGACCAAGUAAAUUCUGGACAUUCACGUAAGGAAAAGUCCUUUUUAGCCCCUGAGUUUAGAAUCCGCAUUUCAUCUUUAGACUACGAAACCGUCCGUUUAUACGUUUAAAUUUCUUGACUUGUGAUACCGGAUACAUGAUUUUUCUAACUGAUUUAUUUUAGUGAUUUUUCUCUUUUACUUUUAUAUUUAUUUAGACUGAAUCUUUAAAAAAUUAUAGUAAAUCAAAAAAUAAUAACAAACUAGAAAAUUCAAAAAUUUUAACUUCACACGAUUAGAUGUAUGCAGUGAAUAUGAUAUGAUAUAAUUUAGUAAAAAUAUUUUAUUUUAUUUUUAGAUAUAUAUUUUUUCUGUAAUUAAUUUAUAGCUAAAGUUUUUAUGGUCCAUAAAAUAUUUAUGAUAAACUAAUCGUUAUAUGCAUGGGCCGGUGGCGGUAGGCGGCGGAGCUCCAGUUCCGCCCCCUUGCGCCCCCUUGCGAUCGAGACAAGAGAGAGGCCGAUGAGGCAGAGGAGAGGAGAAGGUCCGGCUGGAUCGAUUCGAUCCAGUGGAUUCUAAUCGGUUGGGUAGAGAGGCAAAACGGGCAGAUCAGGUGACCUGUAAAACGAAAAAGAAAAAGAAAUACGAAAAAGAAAUUCGCGAAAUCGAGAAAAAGAGGAGAAAUAUCCUGAAUCAAAACAAUUCGCGUUGACGACGAGGAGGUGACGUCGAGUGUGGUGGGCAGGCUGCCCAACUUGACAUGGGCCCAGCCAACUCAUGGAGCCCUUAAAGGGCCCGAGUUUGUAGGCCCAGACACUUUCCUUGAUCCAGUGGAAACCCAAGUACAUCCUAGGCCAGACCAAGUAAAUUCUGGGCCUUCUCUCAAAAAGAAAGUGAAUUCUUGGGCCAGAAAUUUUGAAAUUUUUCGACGCGUCUCCCAGAAGAAGGAAAGAGAUGAAUAAGAACAGCAGCAGGGGAAACGCCCCGUUCGCCGUCGCCCGCGCGGAAUCAGCCCCCGGCAGCGUACAAGCUGCGAAUCGACCCCCGUCUCCUUCCCGUCGAACCAACCGCCACCCCUCCACGCUUGUAUCUGCCGCCGCCACCCACACGCGAUCCCGCCGGCAUGUGCCGGGAGAGAGAAAGAUCUCCGGCUCGUGCCUGGACCGGCGGCCGCUCGAGCUCGCCGGGGCGUGGGGCGUUGCGUGGCAGAUCGGCAACAGUGAGCGGCCGCGGAGACAGAUCCGCAUCCUCCCCCCGCGGCCCGCGCGCGUAGGUUGGGCGACAGGGGUGUAGUGGGGGUGGCGCGCGUGCUCCUCACCGGUCGCUCUCGGUUCCCGUCUCCCCCGAGACUCCUGGCCGUGGCCGCCCCAUCAACUGGUCGCCGUGAUUCUACGUGCGGAGAUUGGAUCGAGAACAGGUCAGUUCAAUUCGAGCCAGCCAGCUCGUUCCAGAAGCUGCCCCUGCUGUCCUGCAGCCUGCAGGCGUGCAGGGCUGAGUCAUGGUCUCGGCAGGGGAGCACCGUCCUGGUGGAGUUGUUCCUGUGGAGCGAUCGAUCUGGUGAUGAUCCUGGUCCUCGAUGCGUCACGUUGAUGCGAACCCAAAAACAAAAGAAGAGGAUGGGGGCGAAUGCAUUGAGCAGUUUGUAGUAUACUCCUCAAAGAUUGAUACGGAGUGGUAGCACAUAAAGGAUUAUGUCCAGACACACCAUGAUCGGGGCGAUGCCGGUGUUUGUCAAGAUCUAGAGAGAGAGGUAGGAGGAUCCACUGCCACAGUGUCUUUGCCAAGGACGCAUGUCUACGUGCAAGUGGGCGACGCAUAACGUUCAAGGAUCGGAACCGUAUCGUCGGACACGGGAUCCCAGUGACUUUCGGUGAUACGGCGCCGAGCCGAGGCAGGCGUAUCCGUUCGGUACACCGGUAUGACGCACAUGCCUUUGCACGCACCACAGUACUUUUUUCUCGCGCAGAUUCUCAUUCUGAACUGAAGUGCCAGUAGCAAAUCCGCCGAACCACCGCACCGUGGCUUUAGCUUAUGCUAGUAUGGCGUGGCCCGUGUGGACCAGCCCGAAACGCCUCUAUGCAGAGGGAAGUGGUGGAUCCUAUCGGAUCGAGAGAGCACUGCUGACUGCUCUGAACUCUGGAGCGAGGGAACAGCUUCAACUGCGCCAGGUCUGAUCCUCAACGGAAUGCAUGCGGGAACUGCCCGUGCACGGGCUCGGACCAGUCAGCACCCGGCCCCGCGCGCGCGGGCGCCUGACGCCAUCACACGUCAGCGCCGCCCCCGCAAACCGUCGGGUCGAGGGCGAGCCGCCAGGCCUGCCGACUAGGUAGAUCACGGCGGACGCCAGUGUUCGGUUACCGUUGCCGCCGUACCAUGUGAGCCGCUGCAGGUCCCGGGUCUCAGGUCAGGUCAGGCGAUGCCGCACCGCGGCGGGACGAAAGCGGAAAGCCAGGCAGGUUGGGCCGGCCGAGGGCAGCUUCGACGCCGCUGGGCCCCGGGCGCACUGGCUCUUCCGCCACCCCGGCUGACUGCCAUGGUUGUGGUCCACGGCUGGAGAUGGCCGCACUGCACUGGCCGUCCGGGGAAGUGGCAGUCGCCCAUGCCCGGGGAGUAGUCUAGUCAUGGUCCGUUGAUGGGCGCACGUGGGCGUGUCCCCUCUCGCGCCCGCCGGCCGGCCGGCCGGCCGGCCCGCGUGGGCGCCGCUUCACGUGCCCUCGCGCGUCGGCGGUCGGCCUCGCCCGUACGUCGUCGUCGCCGCCGCCGCCGCCGGCCGCGACGCUUUCGUCCGAGCCACCACCGAUCCAGGCGCGCGCGCCGGGGCCGAAUCCAAGUUCGAUCCGCUCGUUUCGUCGGCGCAUGCACGCGCGGCGUGGCGGAGCGCUCCGAUCGGGCCCCGCCCAUACGCGCGCGGGUCCGGAGCGUGGUGGCGCGACGCGACGCGGCCCGCUGCCGCUUGCGCUGCGUUGCACGCUCGGUGCUGCCAGGAUGGGAGAGCGGGCGGGCGGGGUGCACGGUAGGGUCGCGCUGCGCUCCGGGGGGUUGUUCAUGUGCCCGUGCUGGUUGGGAAAGGUGCACCUGCACGUACCGCGGUCCGGUCUCCCGAGUCGCCGCCGGCGCGCGGUCCCCCUCUGCAGGUUCAGUCCCUGGCCAUGCCAGCAUGUGUGGUUCUCGCCGAGCCUGUGGUUGGAUUCAGCCAUUCAGGGCCGUAGAGUGGCAGGCAAGCGCAUACAGAAGCUGCACAGGACCCCGGAUCUUACUUGAUUUGCACCUAGUGGUUGCUAAGUAUGACGGGAGUGCAGCUUUUGCAAGUUCAGUUUUUUUCUAAAAAAAAGAAGAAAAUAUGCAGAGGAUCAAUUUGUUUUGUGCUUGUUGGUGUCUUCUUUGGGUGGCAUUUUCUUUAUUACUAGCACAACGCCCUUGCAUUGCUAUGGAUAAUAUAAAUUUUAUCCGAAUGUAUAUAAGACUACCAACGUUAUACUCUUUUACUCCAUAUACAGACCAUGACGCGACCGCGUGAAUUAUUGAUUGUUCGGGUUCUAAUUGAGAUUCCGAUUAAUUUGUCCGGACUCCUAUUAGAAUUCCGAUUAAUUUAUUCGGAUUCUAAUUAGUAUUCCGAUUGACGGACCAAGAAAUUAUUGUUUACUUUAGAAAUAGUAGAGAUAGAUAUAGAGAUGUAAAUCAUGCCGUUUUAUCUUCGGUUGAUACCGAAAUUCAAGGUAAAAACCUUCCCUCUCGUGUCGACACCAUCUUUUAGUAGAUUGGUAGGGUUAAGAAAUUACUGCACGUAUUCCGUGGAAUACCAAUAUGGAUUGAAAAUCUUCCUUCAUAUUGUCUGCUAUCUUCCAUCUCUUUAUUUCCUACUUUUCAUUCUUCACAAAAAUUCCCAUCAAAUUUCUUUGUUGACUAAGACUACACGGAUUAAAUGCGCAUAUAUAGCUUGGGCACUAAUACCAGUCUAGACAAAAUGAAAUGGCAUAGGCCCUGUUUGUUUCCGCUUCUCUCAGCCACGCUUAGAUAAUAAUCUAAGCGAAGAUUUUCUCGCUUAUCGCUUUUCAAUUCUCAUAGUUCAAACCUCUGAAGCAGCUUACCACAUAAGCGAAAGUAAGCAAAAAUAAAUAGAGCAUUCGGUGGAAUUAUCGUUUAUUUUCACCAAUAAAUUGAUUAUAAUCGGAAACAAACGGAACCAUAUAAGUGGGUUAUUAUAUGUCCUUUGAUCCUCAACUACCAUGUGCGUCAAAGAUUUUAACUUCUGAGCAUGAAUUGCCCUAAAAAUUACGAGACACAAAUCAGAAAAAUAGCUGCACCUAUCUUGAGUUGGGAAGUUUUUUUAACGAACAACACUCGACGAGUACGUUUUUAUUGAUAUAGCAGAAAAAAAUACAAGAUUAUAACCCCAGAAGGCCAUAACUAGGAAAAAGAAAAAAAGCCACUCGACGAGUGCAACGAGAUGCUGUCAUCCGGGGGCGCGGCUCGGCUGUUUUGAUGGGGUUCUUGGAAACAGAGCGACACUAUUUGUCUUCUUGACGGCGACCUAGUAAACGAACUUGCGACUCAGAGUACUAAGGCGGGCGUGGCAAGGCCCCCGCGAGUGGUGUUUUCGGCGAGGCGACGAGCGAGGUAGAGUCCAACGGUGUGUGUGGCGAGACCCCGCGCAUUGAGUUAUCGCGGUGGCGACUGCGAGGCAACCUGUGUGUGGUCCGGAUCCGGUGUUUUCACCCUGUCGGAUGGUGUGUGGUGUGGCAGCGACACUACGGCGGUGGGUCCCGUAUGGCGGUGGCCUUCUUCGGGUGAGGUGCGGUCUGUUUCUCUCGUUUCCCUAUCGGCGCGGGGUCGUACCCGACGGCGACUUCAUGUGUUGGAGAAGGUUGUUAGCCGCGGCGGCUAGGCUUUCGUUUCUGCCCGUGUUGCCCAGCAGAGUGGUCUCGUCCGUGUCGAUAUCCCAAUCUGACUGGGCUAAGUUGUCUCGUGGAGACAAGUGGUGUAGCUUGUGUCGACGUCCCAAGCUGAACAGCUUGAGUUAUUUGAGUUGAGUUGAGUUUGACGCGUGUUGAUGCCCCAAUCCAACCCGCCGGAGUUGAGUCGAGAAGUUGAAUAUAGAUGGACAUAUUACAUCACGAGAAAACCGUCGCAUGAUCGACCUUGAUCUUUGCUUUGCACCAUAAACAAAUCUCGACAGGGGACAUCUCUAAGCAUAACAUGAUAUGAUUACUUGUGUUCUUGAGUCGGGAAGUUGAAUAUAGAUGGACAUAUUACACCACGAGAAAACCUUCGCAUGAUCAACCUUGGUCUCUGCUUUGCACCAUAAACAAAUCAUAACAUGAUAUGAUUACUUGUCUCUUCCAAACCACAAAGCGUACACAUUCCAAUCGCUGGCCAGUUUUUUCUUCAAAAGUUGGCCAGUUGGUUGGAUUCUGCUUUUGUGUAAGAUCCGGGAUCACUGUAGCCGGAUCAUCACCGAAGUGGCGCUUUGCCUAUGGCGCGACGCAGUGAUGGCGGAAAGCUAUACGCACGCUCGAUCGAUCGGCGGCCGGGCCGGCAGCGAGUGGGCGUCGACGGCGACAGGAGAUCUCUCGUCGCGACGGCGGUGCGGGCGCGUCAUGCCGAUCGGUGGCGCGCCGUACGCGCCGGUCUCGGGAUCUAGGGAUAGCGAUCGCGACGCCACGCGCGCCUCGCGGUCGUCGCUGGACGCUGGCGCAGAGGAGUGCGCGCGCGAUGUGGCGUCGCUUGGCGAGGUGCGCGCGCCGGCGCGAGUGCGGCCGCGUGCUCUGGGCUGCGCUAUUGGCAGGCAGGCAGGCACGGCAGGUCGGCCAUGCUCGCUCCACACUCCACAUCUCCACUUGCUCACGCCGUGCCCCCUUUUGCUCUGCUUUCGUCGCGUCGAUCAGUGGUCGCUCCGUAUCCUGGCGGUAGCUAGCUCGUGUCGUUCUAGUGGGGGUUCCAAAUUCCCAAUCGGUUGGGGGUCCUGUUUGGACUGAAGAGCUCCUAAAAUUCAGGCACAUGAGGUUCAGAACCGCCCAGUUAGUACACUGUACACCGCGAUCGGGAUGUCAACGGAACGGUAUCGAUUGGGUUUUUCCUUUUCUUUUAAACACUGUCGUCUGAACCGUAACCAGCAGCGCCACUGUACGAUGUAGAAAAAACCCGGCGAGAGCGAACUGUUGGCGCGCGGACGCCGCCACCGUACACAAGGGGUUUUCUAAACAGGAGGCUUGAAGUCAACCAAGAGAGAAUGAGAGAGAGAGACUCAUAGACAGAAUCAAAAAGAAAAACUGCUGCUCCUCCACUACGCUGGAGUCGUACGAUCCACAUUCCUUCGCGGAAGAAGAAAUCCAACAGGGCGGUACCGCCGCGCCCGUCGCCUGCCGCGCAUGGGUUCCCUCGACCUCCUGCCCGCCCGCGACACCGGGGCGUGCCCCCCUGACGCCCCUGCGCCGCGGCGCGCGGACAGGACACCCUGCAGCGCGCAGCUUGCCCGGGUCAGCCGCGGUGGUGUAGAACCACGCCGUUUUUUCCAAUCUGAAACGGGGACACGUUUCCCAGCGCGCGCCUGCCGUUGCCAAGAGGAGGAGAGUGGAAGAAUGAGCUGCAUGCCGAGCUGGCGUGCCGCUGCGCCGGUACGAGAAGCUUGCUGGCGCGGGCGGCCGGCGUGCAGGCUUCCCAUGACAUUUUCUUGGAUCGUGCUGGUCCUGUGAUCCGUCAUCUAUCAGUGUGCGUGUACCGUGCGGUGGCUAGGCAGGGCAGGAAUCGCGCGGGCACAUGCAAUGGACGGAGGCUGGAGCGUAUUUCUAGGCCACUCAGGUAGAUGCGAGCAUUGUCCACUUGUCUAGGGCUAGAUCGAUCGCUCGAGGGUCAUGCAUGCAAGUAGAUUAGUGGGGUAUUUGCGUGUGUCUCUAAUCCCAACCACGCCGUUGCGUCUUGCAAUGAAGAGGCCGGAGGGGGAAGAUGAUGGUGCCAAUCAUGCACGCCCAUGAUUGAAUUGGCUACUAGGAGGAGGUGCCCCCAAACUGAUCGAUCGCUGGCCCGGCCGGACGACGGCCGGCCGUCUCGUCCCGAACAACAGACGCUUCGCGCUUACGUGGUCGGUCCCUGCAAGUACUCUGCUUGUUGGCUUGUUGCUAUACGCAGUAGUACCACUGGUUCGUUGCUCUUCUGUUGCUAUGUUGCACUCGUACCUCAGCCAAUCAGGUUCAGGUCAUCAUGCAACUCAUGAUCACGACCAAAAGUACCAACUCGAACGGUUAAAAGGUACUCCUACUAGUACUUUAUAAACUAAAACAAAUCAUCCACUAAUCACCAGCAGCGUAUAUGGUCAACGAUGAUCGAGGUGAUGGCAUGAUGGCACAAGAUCCCCGAAGAAAAAGAAGAAGAAAACUACGCGCAUCGGGAUCCGUUCAAGCGAGUGUACACGCAGCUACCUAGCGCUAGGCUCUAGGCCUGCGCGCCGCCGCGCUCGCGUCGCGGACUCGCACGGCGCCGGGCAUGGAUCGACCGGCCCGGCACGCGCACGGAGGCGCGGGCACGGAAGCUGGGGAGGGUUCCGGGGCGGUGGGGCGCAGCGGCCCGGGGCACAUGGCCCUGGGUUUCAACGCGCCGGCGACACCCACUACACCCACCCACAUGCCGGCGCUGCCCCCCUCCCCUUCCGCUAUCUUUCUAUACCCCACCCGCACCCGAGCGCACCGGGCGUUCUCGUACGAGCCGAUGCCGCGCGGCCGGGCGAUCGCCGCCAAUAAUAUACUCGCCGGCCGGCGUUUUCUUCGGUCGCUUUACUCUGUGUGUUUGUGUGUGUGAUCAUGGCCGCUAUUAUUAUGCUAGCCGGUGUCGAGGCUUUCCCGGGGGGCACCACCAUUUCGGCCAGGAAUUCUCGUGGAUUUGCGAUCGAUGUCGCUAGCCGGCUGCUCCUGUACAAGCACUUGGUUUAACCAAGCACUGCCAUUUUAAUUUUUUUUUGGUGACCAACUGGCCAUGUCCAUCGCCGUCUGGAACAGGGUGAUCAUUUUAGGAUGGCAAACACAAUUUUCAAGUUUUUUUGGCAAGAUCUGCGUUCCGACCUGUCCACGAAAUUUGAGUUUUUUUUGGUAUAUCUGAAAGAAACCCGUUCCUAAAUCCAGCCAAGAAUUUCCUGACGUUGGAUCCAAGCGCUGCUGCAUGCUUGCCUCUUUGAGUAACCAACCAUUCUGCCCGGGCUGCUGUGUCAGUACGUACAGUGCGUUUUCCUUUCUUUUUUCUCCCCUGCCUAGCGGGUUGUAACUUUUUUUAAAGCCUUUCGUUAGCAGGGCAUGGUGGGCUGGAGAAUGAUUGGGGGCCAAGAAAUACCGCUAGCCCGGCCGUUCCAUUGUGCUAAUCCUCAUUCGAUUAAUAAUUAUUCGACUAAACUGUAAACAAUAAUCAUUCCGGAAUAUGGUCGCGUGGCGCUGGGGAAUCCGUCCCGCGCCCACAUGCGCGCCGGCGUGGGGCCGACACCUGAGUUGACCUGCCCCCACCCCUCCCGGCAUGUGGGCCCCGCCGCCCUGGAGGCCUGGAAAUCCAACUACUCCGUCCUCCUCCCCUCCCCCCCCCCUCUCUCUCUCGCGCUGGCCGUGAAAGCAAGCAACUGUUCUUGUUUCACCCUCCAGCUGUCGCCGUCUCCGUUCAGACAGGCAUUUCCUUUUGGCAAACCCGUCUGUGCCGGCUGGGUUGCUUCAUCUUUUUGCCUUACCAGAAUUUUUUCUUUUGCAGUGAAGUGGAGACAGCAGCGGCUUUUGUCUGUCCCUGUCGACGUUAUCAUCAGGUUCCUGGUCGUGUAACCAGCGUUUUUGCAGUGACACCGACGGUUACGGUAAUGCUGAGCAAGUGCACCAGGGAUAAGGAUGGAUCGCGCAAUUUUGACGGCAGCAAUGAUGGUGCUCAAAGACAAAGAGGUUUCCAAGAUGGUGUCAAGUCGUAACGGCCGUGUUGACGGUAUGGGAAUCGCACAUCUGAAAAGUGGAUGGCAGACAGCCGGAGAAAUCCGGCAAGUUCGGUGAUUGGGGUGGUAAAAUCUGAAGGCUCAUCCAUGAGAGGCGACUAAUCAGGACAGUGAAACCUUUUCACCAGCUUGCACCCAAGCAGUACAAAAAAGUCCGGUAAAUCUCUACCGAGUUCCCUGUUUCGAAAUUCCGGCACAAUCGUCACCGAAGCGGAUUCUGACAGAGAGAAAGGAACGAGGUAGAUCCUGCUGCGCGGUGGGACCUGACAGGUGGGGAGAUCGGCAUCAUCGGGGCCCCACAAGCCGGCAUGGCCCACCAACUGAAGCCCGUGGGCUCGGCGGUGAAAAUCAUCCGGUUUAUACUACAGGGGAAAGGAGGAGUUGGAGGGGCGGUGACGUCAGGCUGCGCAUCACGCAUCGGGCACCGGCAAAAUCGGCGCGGUCCAGCUCAUCCUGCGACACGUGUCGGCGCCUGGUCUGCAGGGUGGCCCGGCCUGCAUAUGGGCUCCGUUCACUUGUCCGAGCUGGCCCCGGGAUCGUCUUCGGGAUGCGUCCUGCCAGCCGUGCAUGCCCCUCUGUUCCCUCCCCCGCUUUCAGGGAACCCCUCCCUGAUUAUAUGCUGCUCAUAAACCAUGCGUUAGCUACGUGUUCGCCAGAGUGCUUUUGGGUUUAUUUCAUGUUUGUAUCUAUUUUAUGGACUUCUAGGAGCAUCUGCUUUAGGGAGAUGGGGAAGGCAUCAUAUUUAUCAGCUGAAACAAAAUCCUUGCGAAAAAUAUGUUUAUAUGAAAUAGAUAACAAUGUGAUAAUGGAAAUCGAAUGCACCUUUGACUUUUCACUGCUUGAGUGGGGUGCGUUUGGUUGGGGAGCUAACUUGAAUGGAAUGGCUCCAUUCCAAUUUUUGAGAAUGGAGCCGUUCCGUUCUACGUUUGGCAAGAAGAACGGAGCCGCUCUAUUUUUUGUUUGGUUGGAGAGUGCGCUAGAUUAGAACCGUUUCAUUGUGUGUUUGGUUGAACAACCAGGUGAGUAUGGUUACCUCCUCCUUUGUUAGGGUGAGCUUACCACUAUAUAUUUCAGUUAAAAUGCACCAUAUAUAACUGAGUUUCAACAUGAUAUAAUAUGUAAAAUUAAUCCUAAGUGCAUUGUUCAAGGACACAUGCAACGCAUACAUGAGCCCAAAUUUCUCCUGCGAACUGCCAAAAUCACUGAAACCAAGCAGAUCAAGAAGCCACGCGGGGGGGGGGGGGGGGAGGGGGGGGAGGGGGGGGCUCCAGGCUGCCGCCGGCCCACCGACUUCGGCACCAACGUGUCGUCCGUGGACGCCGCGCGCCCGGCGGCCGUGUUCUACCCGUCGAGCGCGGCCGACAUCGCCGCGCUGCUGCGGGCGUCCAGCGCCAGCGCGGGGGGCAGGCCGCGCGGGGGCUGGCGCUGCAGGGAGCAGGCCGCGCGGGGGGCCGGCGGGUGGGGGGCGGCGCUCGGGGGGCCGGCGUGCGGGGGGCGGCGCGCGGUGGCCACGCGGGGAGAAGAGAGGGAGCGGUGCCCCUAUCUCACGCGCGCGGGAGAGAAGAAAAGGAGAGCUCGCGUCUGGUCGGAUUUGGGGAGCGGGAUGGUUCCGCAUAUCAGCGGAAUAUUCGUAUCUUUCGGCUCCCGGAGCCCGUUCUUUCUCGAUUGCAACCAAACGCCCAAAAAAAAGGAGCGGAACGGUUCAUUCCAAUUCACUCUCCAACCAAACACAUCCUUAGUUAUUCCAUUCUUUUUCACUCGCUCUUUUACAUGGAUUUGUGUACAUUUGACUCUGCUGGUGUGCAAAUUGAAUAAUUUUCACCAGCAGACAUAAAUACAUAAAAAUUCACUUUGACUGUCUGUUGCAACAUCGAUGUUAUAAGGAAGAUUAAAUGUUGCAUGGUUUGGUGGCACUAUCAAUUCUCUCUCUCUCUCUCUCUCUCUCUCUCUACGGGCCUGAAUAUUGAAUUUCAUAGAAACCUGUUCAAUAUUUUCUCAGCACCAACCAGGGAUUGAUUUCUUGCCGUUCGUGCAGAUGAUGGUUUUGGGCAAGAACUGUGAAACAAGGAGAAAAGGUCAAGGAUAAAAUAAGUAAAUAGAACAUCCUAUUUCUUUUCUUUUGGAGCCGCAGCAUCCGAUUGAGACUCUACACAUGCACUUGUUUCAAAAGGAAAAAAAAUACUACACAUAACACAUGCAGUACUAACAAGUUGGCUUCUGCCCAUGAAUAGAGAAUCCAGACGGAGGAAACAUGGAAACAAAAAUUAUUGGCUCCAACCUCCAACUAGCCUCACUCAUGCUCUAACUAACUGCUAUUGUAAGUUGCAACCCCACUUCCAUCUCCCUCUCUCCUCCUGCCACACCACCCUAGAAUAGGAGUAUUUACCACCACUUUCUCUCUCCUUUCCAUCUCUCCCUUCCUCUAUAUAUACGCAUCUCCACCCUGUUCCUGGGUCCUCUCUUCCACCACCUCCAACCCACUGCCCCAAAUCUCCAUCCUCACACACACACAGAGGAGCUCCGACCCAAGAAGCAGCAGGCAGGCAGCUUAGCUUAGCUUAGCUUGUUGGAGCCUUGAAGGUGUCCAAGGUGGGAGAGACACGACGACGGCCGCGACAGGCUAGCCGGUCAGCAGCUAGCUCCCGCGGAGCCGAUGGCUAGCGCCGACGUCGACGUCGGGACGGAGCUCAGCCUCGGGCUGCCGGGAGGCGGCGCCGAGGCGGCCAAGGCCGCGAAGAGGGGCUUCGAGGACACCAUCGACCUCAAGCUGAAGCUGCCCACCGCCGGCAUGGAGGAAGCCGCCGCCGGCAAGCCGGAGCCGGCCGCCGAGAAGGCCAAGAGGCCCGCCGAGGCGGCGGCCGCUGAUGCGGAGAAGCCACCCGCACCCAAGUACGUACCACCCAUCUGCGCCCAUGCUGAUUUAUCUGCAUGGGAUAGGCUUAAUUUUGACUGCUACUAAUUAACCAUGGCGAUUCAAUCUGCACUACGAUUCUAAUCUUUUCUUAUGAAAUGAUUGAGACUUUAUUUUCUUUUUUCUGUAUGAAAUAAAAAGACCCAUAAAUGGUUUAAUGGCAUUUGGUAGAAAGCGUGUGUGUGACUUUAUGUGCAUGUGCUGGCUGUUCUUUGUUCUCCCUUGCCUCCUUUUUAUAUCAGCGUGAAACACUUUUGAGUAGGGCAAAAUAUCCAUAGAACAGAUCCUCUGGCAGAAAGUGCAGACGGCGGAACUAUUGUGUAGGUUCUUUGUCGCUAGUAAAGCGCCGCGCGAAUUAUCAUCACCUUUUUUAAAAUCAAAACAUACGCACAUUUGAUGCCUGCCUUUGUCGGUAGAUUGUCAGAAAAGAAUGAUGUACUUGCUUCGCCUUUUGGCAGAUUCCAUUAGGAAAAAGUGGUCUGCUCGUAGCUUUCUUUCAUUCUUUUUACUGAGCAAAAUGAAGGAUUAUACUUAGCAAAAUAUUUUAAGUAUCAGGUGAAGCACACCUGUUCCCAAGUGAUUUCUGAAUAAUCAUGACGGUCAUGAUUCAUGUGGCCUUAACCACACCACAUUUUCAUUAUACACAAUAUUAGCAGAAAGCAGAGCUGGUCGCAGAGAAGAUAGCAAAAGAAUCCCAACUUCUUCAAGCUCUAGACCAGAACUGAUAUGUGAAAUUCAUGGAACUACAACUAAAUUUGUGCGUGUAUAUCAGGGCACAAGCUGUGGGUUGGCCACCAGUACGAUCAUACCGCAGGAACGUCAUGACCGUCCAGUCAGUGAAGAGCAAGAAGGAAGAGGAACCCGAGAAGCAGCAGCCCGCUGCCAACGCCGGCAGCAACAGCUCUGCCUUCGUGAAGGUCAGCAUGGACGGCGCACCCUAUCUGCGCAAGGUGGACCUUAAGAUGUACAACAGCUACAAGGACCUGUCAAUUGCUCUGAAGAAGAUGUUCAGCACCUUCACAACUGGUAAAUCAUCACUGGCAUGGGAAACGGCAGCAUACAAAUUGUCAACUGAUAUCAAUGCAAAGUUGACCUGAACUGAUAAGAGCUGAAUCAAUGAUCCAUCUUACCAGGGAACAUGAAUGAGGGGAAAUUGGUUGAUCCGGUGAGUGGUGCCGAUGUUGUCACUACUUACGAAGACAAGGAUGGCGACUGGAUGCUUGUUGGCGACGUACCAUGGGAGUAUGUUCUUCAUCCUUGUGUGCCUGGUCGUUAAUAAUACAUGCUUUCAUAUUUACUGACCCAUGAUCAGGAUGAGAUCAAGAUGUUCAGACUUCAGCUCCUUAUGUUGGCUUGUCAAUUAUAAUCCCUGCAGGAUGUUUGUCGAGUCAUGCAAGCGCCUGAGGAUCAUGAAGAGUUCUGAAGCCAUCGGUCUUGGUCAGUGUCAUCAGCUAAAAUUCUCUUUCAUUUCAAAAUUUACACGUUAAUUCUGACCCUCUAUGUUUUCUACAUAAAAAAAUGCAGCACCAAGAACCAAGGACAAGUGCAAGAACAAGAGCUGAACAAGAUGCAGCUUUAAGAUGCUGCGCCUUGUGUCAUAAGAAUGGUGCCCUUGCAGUGUGCUGCGGUUUUCCUAGAAAUAUAAUGUGUUUUAAUUACUAGUGGAGGGAGAGCUGUCUUGUUCAAUUUGUUCAUGGACCAGAAGCAAUAAUCUAUCUGUGUGUAGCUGGAAUGGUGUUAUGUGAUGUCCCCUACCGUGUGUCCCAGAAUCUACUUGGUGAUUUUAUUCCAGUGUUGUUAAUCAAGCUUGUGUGAUUGUUAAGUAAAGGGCAUCAAUGAGACUAUUAUUAUUAUGGUAUCUUGUAAGUUAACCUGUUUGUUAAUUGUCAAUACAAUAUUUGGCAAUCUAUAUGUGAUCAAGUGGGGGAAACAGGCCAUGUGCCUGGUGAUGGGGAAUCCAUUAGUAUAACCCUAGUCUAUCUGUCUCUUUGAGUUAUUGAGAAGGCUGGGUCUUGAGGCAUGAUGGCAUGAUCACAGCAUGAAGCUUCCUGGCUCCUGCUCUAUGUGGUCAUAACAAAGCCAAGUACAUUGCAUAAACAAACUAAACCAUACUUUAUUCAUUACACAUUUAUGAUCAGGGAAAUGUAACAGAUAUAUAAGAUGCCAAUAGUGUUUGGUCUGCCUGGUGUUGAACAUAUGAUAAUAUCUUGAAAACUGUACUCAAAUGAUGGGUGUCCUUUUGGGAUCACGCAACAAUUAAUUGAAACCUCCCAAUAAUUAUGUGGAAGUUAUGUGGUGAGAAGAAAUACAGGCAGGCUAUAUCUUUGUGGUGUUGACACCUGCUUAAAGAGCAUACCAACUGACGAGUCUAGAAAAUAGGAACUGCGCAUUUUCACAGAAAAUCCAGCAUUUUCAGAGGAUAAUACCACAUGCUAUACAAAAACUAAAAUGUAAUGGCUUACAUCAAACUGGAGCUUGAGCAAUGUACAACUCAGGGAGAUCUCACCCCUCCAGGCAGUAGAGCUCUCCCAGUAUAUAUGCAGGCGACCAGAAAAUAGCAUAUAAAUAAUCCACGUUAACAAUUUAAUUCUGCACAACCAAUUACUGCAAGUGUUCAAUAAAUACUUGCAAGUAAACUUCAUCAGUGAAUAUGAAGUCCGGUCCCGCUGAAAGCCAUAUUUUUCAGGAUCACAUAUGGACCCAACUGGGAUAGCACAAAAAUGGUUAGGCUCCGUGCCUUUCUAGCCCUGAACAGCCAACUCCUGCAAGUGUUCAAUAAAAACUUGCAAACUAACAUCGUCGGUGAAAAUGACUUCAGAUCCCUCUGAAAGCUGUGUUUUCUGUGUCACAGAUGGAUUCAACCGAGCGAGCAGGAACCUGGCCUGGCUACCAUGCUGAUCACACUUUAUGAGUUUUGGCACAGGGAAACGAUCUACCAUAAGUGCCUCUGCAUCUACUUCUGGUGCUUCAAGUAGCUUCCGCAAAUUUUCGUGGUUUGGGUCCUUAUGAUAACCAAGCUUCCUCCACUGAGCAAUCUUUGAGCCAUAAUGAAUCACGAUAUAGAAGUAUGAAUCAAAUAGUAAAAUGACAUCCGGAGAGAGGGAGCUGACAUCUAGCAGCACAGGAAUAGGUGGUCCAUCAAAUGAGUACUGGAAUAGAGUCGGCUGGAUCAUGAUUAGAGACCCCACAACUCCCUCCCUAUUCAACAUCAACCUGAAGAAAGCAGUUUCGUCGGGAGAGCUGUUGAAAACAUCAAUGAACUGUGACCUCCGCAGGUAGUACAUGAACUGCGGAUACAGGGAGAAGUUUGUUGACAGCCGAAAUGUGGAUGGAUCUUCAGGAACAUAGUUUCCAAAUUUAGCAGUAAAACGGAUAAGCAUCUUGUCAAGCCAUCGUAUAACAUCUCUAACGUGGUAUGUCUCUGCCCUGUAAACAGCAAGCCUGGCCAUAACAGCCGCAGCAGCUUCCUGAUCAAACCCUGCAGCAAUUUCAGGAGAUCGAGGUGCUGCCCAUCUUCUUGCAACGGUUGUUACCCUUAGGCGAUAACUACCAUCACCAUGUCGGUAUCUUGUCAUGAACUGAAUAAAGAAGACAGUUGGGGGCUCAGCUUUAUGACUACAAUCAACUCGGAAAAAGAAAGCAAUGCAGGUCUUGCUGCUCAGAGAACUAGUUUUCCAAUAGUUUGUCCCACCCUCACCAAUUUCCUUGUCACUAACUGAGCUGUUUUUCCUGCGGAGGGAAAUGCAGGGACCAAGGGCACCACAAAUCUUCACCUCCUUUGAUGUCACUAUUUCAAUUGUAGCAUUGAAGUUCAUGUUAAGGUAAUCAGUACUUUCACGCUUGAACAUAUGCCUAAAACAGCUUUUAAACUGCUCGGACUCAAAUGACUCUGUAUGCACUAUUAAACCCCCUGACACUUCAAUUGGAUUCCUCAGCUCUGCAGCCCCAACCUGAUCAAGGGAGCAGGCAAAUAGAUCAAGAACUAAUGCAUGGUCUGUUAACCUCUUUGCAACUUUCUUAUAAAAGUCACGUGCUUUGUCAGUGAGCGGUGCAUUGCUAUUGAAUAUGUCACGAUGAGAACGAAUUGCUUUCCCAAGAUCAGUUUCCACCACAAGCCCUGGACCAACUGUUGCAGGACCGGAUGUGAAGACCAUAAUCCGACCACCGGUACUGGGUGAGCAGCAACCUUCCAGAAGAGCAAUAGCAGUGGAAAUAGCUGCGCCAGUUGCUCUUAAAGGGCGAUGCCCACGUGGGCACGCAGACAUGGAGCUCAGAUCCUCUAUUGCAGAUGUGAAGUUAAAUUCACAUUCAGAAACAGGCAGCAAAAAUCUCUGUGCUUCAGCGGACCUUGGCAUAGCCAACUUAUUGUAUCGUGAAUGGUGGACACCUAAAAGUUCUUGUAUCUGAAACACAAAACACAGCCUUUGAGAUAUAUAUAUACAACAAUCACAAGAAUUUCGAUAAUGCAAUAUGCAAGUAAUCACAAAAGCAGAUCACCAAACUUGAAGUAAUUCAAAAUACAAGCGAAACAAAUUUACAAGGCAACUUUAGCAACAUAGCUACAGGGAAUCUGAACCGAGCUUAAAGUUUCCAUGACACGAUGGGUUUAGAUAAAGGAAAAUAUUAUCCGGCUACGCAGUUUUCAAAUUUCCACAUUUUCGAAAACACUAUAUAUGGGCAUGCGGAUUUUCAAGACAUUCCAAAUUACACAUCCAGCAACAACUAACACCUUAGAACACUAAGACACCACAGCUCGUAUAGAAAAGCAAAAUUGAAUAAAGCAUCCAGAUCAAGAAGAAUUUUACAAACCAAGCCAUGUCAAGUUGCUAUGCACAAUGUCCAUUUCAAUAUUUCAGUAGAAAUACUACUGCACAGAACAACUAGAGCAACACCAACCUAAGGCAAAAGUCAUGUAACAUUAAAGCAAAGAUGGCACUGCCCCUGCAUUUACUGAUUACGAGCAGAGUACUUCCUUGGUUUCCAAGAUUACAUCUCAAAACUAGCAUCUCAAAAAGCUACCGGUAUUCAAAUUCAAAACCAGAUUACAAUUUACAAGUUUGAGAGAUCACCCAGAGUGGUUUUUAAAUGAGAUGACUAGUGGCAGUGGUAGUGGCAGGAUGCAUACUAGAGUGUUUGAUCGAUCACAUCAAUUGGCCCAGAAGGAUCGCAUUGCAGAUUCACAAACCUUGUCAGACUCAAGUUCGCGCUCGCCGCUGAUCACGACCACCCGAGCGCACCCUUCGAAUCCGAGAUCGUGCACCCACACCGACGCAGCGAAAGUCACGAGCGCCACCCUGACCCCCUCGGGCAGCCCCUGCACGACCCUGCGCACCUCGCCCUUGAGCACGGCGAGCUCCGCGGGCUCCGUGGCCGCGUCCACCACGAACACGAGCGCGGGCGGCCCCGGCCCGCCUGCCUCUGCAGGGUCCGCGGCCAGCGCGUACUCGACGCUGGAGUGGGUGGGGAAGAGCUCGGCGGGGAGCGCGUCGGGCGCCAGGCGGCGCGGGAACGGGUUGGCGCCGGCGCCGCAGAAGGGGCAGGACCAGCGCGCGGAGCCGUGGUGCACGCGCGAGAACGGGUUGAGUGCGGCGCCGCACCCGGGGGUCGCGCAGCGGAGCGGCGCGUAGGGGAGCAGCGGGAGGAGGUCGGGCGCCGUGGGGUGCUGCAGCGGCGAGCAGAGGACGGCGGUGGGGACGACGAGCGACGCGGCGGCAGGGGGAGCCGGCGGCCACGAGUGCCACGGCCACCGGAGGCCCUCCACCGCCUCCAGCUCCGCGAAGUCCAUCGGAAUCGAGCCCCGAUCGGGGUGGUGGGCGCCGCGGUGGAGUGAGCACUAGGGUUUGCCGUCGUCUUCCAGUGUGCUGCCUUUUUUCCCCAAGGUUCCUUUCUUCCUCGGGAGAAUUUGGCUGGAUGCUUCCUCCUUUUUUUUCCUGCUUUGUUAGCUUCGUCAAACAGUGGGCGUUGGAUCAUCACUGAACAGCUGAUCUCGAGGCUCUGCUUAACGUGGCAUUGUCACGUUGUUCUGGAUACUGCUGGCCUACUAGGCUGAUCGACGAAAUAUGGGCCGGAUCCAAUUCGGGCAAAAGUUUAUGGGCCAAUCAUACGUGGGUGAGCCUGGUUUUCCCGCCCAUUUGAACCCAAACCAGGCCCGUAUUCGAUUGCGAUCCUCCUCAAGGAAGACCGACAAUUUCAGCAUGUUUCCUGGCCUGUAAAGAUUCAGGAAAUCAGACGAAUGGAUUUGUUGCGACAUGCGUAGCAGCGGCAGCUUCCUCCUCCUCCUCUUCUUCUUCCUAUACGCACCCGUGCUAGAUCGUACCGGACCCGUCGCAGCCUCCCGUACAGAAGACUCCUGUCCCGGCGCCCCGGUGGCGUCAGGUAGGGGCGCCUGCUCACCUCACACGCGGCGUGCUCCAGUACCCACCUGCUCCGGUCCGCUGCAUCCCUCGGUCCGUAGGUGCCCCCCUGC